UUACGGUCAUAUCAGGUUGAAACACUGAUUCUUGUACGAUCACCGAAGUUAAGCAACGUCGAGCCUGGUUAUUACUUAAAUGCAUGACAACGUGGGAAUACCAAGUGCUGUAAG